AGGCCGAAAGGCGUAGUCGAUGGACAACAGGUUAAUAUUCCUGUACCGUUUGUUGUUGGUACCGAAGGACGGAGAAGGCUAAACUAGCCGGAUGUUGGUUACCGGUUUAAGCGUUAAAGGUGAUGAGAAGUGGUGAAAACACUUUGAGCUAAGGCGCGAGUACAAAAUACUACGGUAUUGAAGUAGUUGAUGUCAUACUUCCAAGAAAAGUUCGAAAUACCAUAAACAACAAAUGCCUGUACCUUAAACCGACACAGGUAGGUAAGUAGAGUAUACUAAGGGGCGCGAGAUAACUCUCUCUAAGGAACUCGGCAAAAUAGCCCCGUAACUUCGGAAGAAGGGGUGCCCUGCAAAGGGCUGCAAUAACCAGACCCAAGCGACUGUUUACCAAAAACACAGGUCUCCGCGAAGUCGCAAGACAAUGUAUGGGGGCUGACGCCUGCCCAGUGCCGGAAGGUUAAAGAAAUUGGUUAGCUCUAGGGCGAAGCUGGUGACUGAAGCCCCGGUGAACGGCGGCCGUAACUAUAACGGUCCUAAGGUAGCG
rnacentral:rRNA from 1 species